rfam:Cyberlindnera jadinii strain CBS1600 genome assembly, contig: CJ2
UCAUAUGAUGAUAACGUUGUUUCCUUCUUUCCCAGUCCGAUUUCGACCAUGACGACAUGGGGUUCUAACACGUCACUUGUUUCCCAUACAACUCUUAACUACGGUUACUAGUUGGGGAUCUCUUUGACUUUUUACUUGCCAGUAACCAAACAUUUCUGAUCUGUUGC